GACGUAGGGCGCGAGCGUUGUCCGGAUUUAUUGGGCGUAAAGAGCUCGUAGGCGGUCUGUCGCGUCUGCUGUGAAAACUCGGGGCUUAACCCCGGGCCUGCAGUGGGUACGGGCAGACUAGAGUGCGGUAGGGGAGACUGGAAUUCCUGGUGUAGCGGUGAAAUGCGCAGAUAUCAGGAGGAACACCGAUGGCGAAGGCAGGUCUCUGGGCAUUAACUGACGCUGAGGAGCGAAAGCAUGGGGAGCGAACAGG
rnacentral:rRNA from 1 species